rnacentral:rRNA from 1 species
UACGUAGGGUGCGAGCGUUGUCCGGAAUUAUUGGGCGUAAAGCGCGCGCAGGCGGUCCUUUAAGUCUGAUGUGAAAGCCCACGGCUCAACCGUGGAGGGUCAUUGGAAACUGGGGGACUUGAGUACAGAAGAGGAAAGCGGAAUUCCACGUGUAGCGGUGAAAUGCGUAGAGAUGUGGAGGAACACCAGUGGCGAAGGCGGCUCACUGGACCGGAACUGACGCUGAGGCGCGAAAGCGUGGGGAGCAAACAGG